rnacentral:rRNA from 1 species
AGAUUGAACGCUGGCGGCAGGCCUAACACAUGCAAGUCGAGCGGUAGAGAGGUGCUUGCACCUCUUGAGAGCGGCGGACGGGUGAGUAAUGCCUAGGAUCUGCCUAGUGGUGGGGGAUAACGUUCGGAAACGACGCUAAUACCGCAUACGUCCUACGGGAGAAGCGGGGGACCUUCGGGCCUCGCGCCAUUAGAUGAGCCUAGGUCGGAUUAGCUAGUUGGUGAGGUAAUGGCUCACCAAGGCGACGAUCCGUAACUGGUCUGAGAGGAUCGGACCAGUACACACUGGAACUGAACGACGACGGUACCAGACUCCGUAGGGAGCAGCAGGUGGGAAUAGUAGGACAAGUGGGACGAAAG